rnacentral:lncRNA from 1 species
GUUUUCUUUUUGCGGGAAAGUAGGACAUAAAUUUUUUUGGCUGGAAAAUUUGGACGAUAUUUUUUUUCCCGGGGAGCGAAAAAUUUUUUGGCGAGAAAUUUUAACGGAAAUAUUUUUUGGCGGGAAAAUUUUGAUGGGAUUUGGUUUUGGCGGGAAAAUAUUAACAGUGAAUUUGUGAUUUUUGGUUUUUAUUUAUAAUUAUUUAUUAAUUUAAAAAUCAAAAAUA